CCUACGGGGUGCUGCAGUAGGGAAUAUUGCUCAAUGGGGGAAACCCUGAAGCAGCAACGCCGCGUGGAGGAUGAAGGUUUUCGGAUUGUAAACCUCUUUUGUCAGGGAGCAAAGGGCGCCACGUGUGGCGCUUUGCGAGUACCUGAAGAAAAAGCAUCGGCUAACUCCGUGCCAGCAGCCGCGGUAAUACGGAGGAUGCGAGCGUUAUCCGGAUUUAUUGGGUUUAAAGGGUGCGCAGGCGGAAUGUCAAGUCAGCGGUAAAAUUUCGGGGCUCAACCCCGUCGUGCCGUUGAAACUGGCGUUCUUGAGUGAGCGAGAAGUAUGCGGAAUGCGUGGUGUAGCGGUGAAAUGCAUAGAUAUCACGCAGAACUCCGAUUGCGAAGGCAGCAUACCGGCGCUCAACUGACGCUCAUGCACGAAAGCGUGGGUAUCGAACAGGAUUAGAUACCCCUGUAGUC
rnacentral:rRNA from 1 species